rnacentral:rRNA from 1 species
UACGGGGGGUGCAAACGUUGCUCGGAAUUAUUGGGCGUAAAGCGCGCGCAGGCGGUCCUUUAAGUCUGAUGUGAAAGCCCACGGCUCAACCGUGGAGGGUCAUUGGAAACUGGGGGACUUGAGUACAGAAGAGAAGAGUGGAAUUCCACGUGUAGCGGUGAAAUGCGUAGAGAUGUGGAGGAACACCAGUGGCGAAGGCGACUCUUUGGUCUGUAACUGACGCUGAGGCGCGAAAGCGUGGGGAGCAAACAGG